UCUCCUCAUAAAUAUGUAAGGGACAAGACUGCAACACAUCAGUUCUAUUUACAGACGUAUGUACAUACUAAUAUACAUAUGUAUGCGAAGCUAAUCAGUUGCAGUGCUUUCAAUUCAAAUGAGCGCAUUAAUACAACAAUGAAUCCAAUGGCCGCAUCUGAAAGUAAUGAAAAUUGCAACGUUUUGAUUGGAGAUUUAAUCGUACUUUUGCAAUAGGUCAUGCCACUUGAUAUUGCCUCCACAGCACUCGAACCAACUCCAGCCGCUGUAGGUAGCUACGGCAUUCCAUAAAGUAUUUGACCGAGCGAGCGUCCACUUGGCAGCAUGGCUGUGCGUUGCUGUGGCACGGGCGGUGGAUUCGAUUCGGUCGUCGUGAUUGCGAUGUGCUUUUUUUUGCAGCAACAUUAAAGCCAAUGUGUAUGUAACGAGUGAGUACCUACUACAACUACCAGUACUUACCUUCAUGCAAGCCCGUUUAUCGAGGGUGGAGUCCAAGCACCGUUGAUUGGCCUGCCAACUCUGUUGCAAUGUUGUGCCAUUGGUAGAUAAUUUUAUAGGCAUUUUGAGCCUAUAAACGAAAACCGGAAAUAAACGAGCGAACAAAUGAAUUAAUAUUCGUUCUCAAGUACGAAUGUUGUUGGCGCGCUUACAACUACAAAGGAGGCAAUUGAAUCGAAUAUAUCUCAUCGACCUGGAGAAAAGCUGUGAAUAGCCUGGAUAACGAUUGAACAUUUUUAAGGCUUUAGCUUCCACCCUCCAGCAGUCAACAGCCAUCAGCUGUUUCCAAGCGGCCAUUCUACAAAUCCAUGAGAUACUCAUUACGCCACAAAUACACACACACACAAAACAAAGCAGGUACGAUGUAAUGUCAUUAUAGAUUCAUGUUUCUACACGAUUUCCUGGUCGCCCGCUUUUCCAUACACAAAUCGAAAUUGCUGCAUCGCGACAGCGCAACAUAGCGACAAUAACAACAAAAAUUAAAGAGAAUAAACAUCAGCAAGCAAAGCAGCAGUCGCAAGCAACGCCACACAACACGCUCCAUAUCCAGGUUGGCGCAGAGUUGCCAUUAGCGGAACAUUCAUAUCUAAAUGGUCUCGUGAAAUACUUGCCUGUGUGCAGAGGAAGUUUUAUAAUGCUAGACGACAAUAAUUUAUUUAA
rnacentral:lncRNA from 1 species